UAUGUCCGUGUUUCUAUUAAUAGAAUUCAGCAAAUUGUCAAAACAAACACAGAGAUCUUUUUAAAGUUAACGAGCUGGGAGUCUUCUGGCCAGCAUAACGACCAGUACCCAAUGGAUUUUUGUAAUACCAUUCUUCAUUGAGUAUCGAACCCAGGACCAAAGGUUAUGAAGUCAAGAACUUAACCGCUUUUGAUUUACAAGAACUCGUCAAAGAUGUUCUGCAAGAUCUUCCGCAAGAAAAAAAAUAAAAAUGAUAGAAAAGUAUCUACAAAGAUAAUAACAGAAAAA
rnacentral:sRNA from 1 species